AUACGGGGGGGGCGAGCGUUUUCCGGAAUCAUUGGGCGUAAAGGGUGAGUAGGCGGGAUGGUAAGUCAGAGGUGAAAGUCCAGGGCUCAACUCUGGAUCUGCCUCUGAUACUGCUGUCCUUGAGUGCGGGAGAGGGAAGUGGAAUUCCCGGUGUAGCGGUGAAAUGCGUAGAUAUCGGGAAGAACACCAGUGGCGAAGGCGGCUUCCUGGCCCGCAACUGACGCUGAAUCACGAAAGCGUGGGGAGCAAACAGGAUUAGAUACCCUAGUAGUCC
rnacentral:rRNA from 1 species